GUGGGGAAUAUUGCACAAUGGGCGAAAGCCUGAUGCAGCAACGCCGCGUGAGGGAAGACGGUUUUCGGAUUGUAAACCUCUGUCCUUGGUGAAGAAAAAAAUGACGGUAGCCGAGGAGGAAGCCACGGCUAACUACGUGCCAGCAGCCGCGGUAAUACGUAGGUGGCAAGCGUUGUCCGGAAUUACUGGGUGUAAAGGGAGCGCAGGCGGGACUGCAAGUCAGUGGUGAAAUGUAUGGGCUUAACCCAUAAAUUGCCAUUGAAACUGUGGUUCUUGAGUGGAUCAGAGGCAAGCGGAAUUCCGAGUGUAGCGGUGAAAUGCGUAGAUAUUCGGGGGAACACCAGUGGCGAAGGCGGCUUGCUGGGGUCUAACUGACGCAGAGGCUCGAAAGUGUGGGGAGCAAACAGGAUUAGAUACCCGGGUAGUCC
rnacentral:rRNA from 1 species